GAUAAAUAGUUUUCACCUGAGCCAGGCUUGCGUUACUUCCGUGACUUCAGUCUUUGCUCUCCUACCCUCUCACUUACUAGCUGAGCGAUCUGGGGGAGGUUAUCUAACCUUCCUGAGCCUCGUAUUCCUCAUACCGAAAACGGAGGUAACCAGAGUAACUACAUCCAAAAAUUGAGAGAACUGAAUGAGAUAAAUAAGGCGGGGUGUUUUUAACACGUCCUGCACAUGAAGACAAUACCAUGAUCAUGAAAUCACUAGAGAAAUCUGUCGGGGAAAGUCUGUGAGGAUAGUCUCAUCUGUAACACAUGUGUCCUCCAGAAAAAAAGUAUAUGGCUUUCAGACUAAAUUUUACUCCUUAUCCAAAUGGAAAGAAUAUCUAAAGAGACAAAGUGUAAUAAUCCAAGAAUCUUCUAUUGUGAGAAUAAUGGAGAUUGACAUUGUGAAGUAUAUAGAAAAACAUAAAAGCAUGGCUUUUGCCAAGUGGUGCCAUGUCCGAACCCAGGAUCCCAACCGGCGAACCCCGGGCCAACGAAGCAGAACGUGCACACUUAACUGCUGCGCCACCAGGCCGGCCCCAGUGUCUGAAACUCUUAACUGUGUAUGUUUAACACAUUUUUAAGUAAGGAAUUUUCAUACUGACUCUCUCUAUAAGCCUUGCUUUACUGAGUAGAAUUGAUUUUUAAAUUACUUCUGCUUAUACAUAUGGCACCAGAGACCAAAUGCUUAUAUAGUGUAACUAUUUACUCACUGACCAAAAUGACUUUUACUGUUAAAGUGCCUCUUGGUUUACUAUAGUCUACAUGUUAUUUAGUCAUCCUUAACGUCCAGGGGGUCAUGCCAGGUGUCUGGUAAAGGGAAGGAAUGGGAGAGAGACAGGCACAAAACAGCCAUGCCGAUGGGACAAACUGGGCGGGAUAGGCUGCCACCUCAGCAUGUCACAUAUGGGUUUAGGGCAACAGCAGCAAUUCUUUGAGCAGAUUUACAGAGCACGGCUUUAGGUGAUUCUGUGGAAUGGCUGGCUGUGAUUAGAAGCUGGCCUUAGGAGAAGUCUUUCGAAAAACAGAUAGUGAGAUUUCCAUUCAUCAGUCUGAGGUUCAAUCGUAGGAGGGGUCCAGAUCCUCAGAGAAAACUGUCAGAAGAAAUAUAGAUCUCUAAUGUGAAUUGGAAAUCCUGGAUUGGUUGUUUAGGUAGUUACUAAAGGAGGAACUAGGGAAGAAGCAAGAUUUCAGGAGCCUAAUCCAUGACCAAAGGCACUGUCACUUACAGUCCGAUUGUCUGAUCAUUGGGGUUUAAAUCAGUGGGAUCGGGGCUGCGAUUUAAACUCGUGGUAGCCUUUUGUAAAU
rnacentral:lncRNA from 1 species